rnacentral:rRNA from 1 species
AUGAGGUGGUGGGGGCUGAAAACUAAGCAGCAGCAGCUGCUGCCACAAGACCAGGCGCAUGAAGAGAGCAAGAGCGGCAAGGGCAAGGCGGCCUUCUCGCCGCUCACAUGGUUCUCCAAGCUCACGGCUAAGCACAAUGCCGCUGCUUCCUCUAAGCCCAAGAAGCAUGCCGCGCCUGAGGCCAAGAGCUCCGGCGGCGGCUUCCACGAGGGCGCGACCCCGAGCCCGGCAUCGCGGAGCAGCCCGCCAGAUACUUUGUCACCCGCAGCCGCCGAUAUCGUGCCGCGUCGUCUCUCCGUCGGCAACGAUGACGCCGAGGCUGAGGCCACGGCCGCGCGCCAGCUCUCCCGCCGACGCCACUACUCCGUCGGGGGCGAUCGCGAUCUCCCGCCGCUCAGCCACCUCAGCGCGUUCUCCCGCGCUGCUUCCUCGCCGCAGUGUGUGCUGGCGACGGCGCCGACCCCGGUGCUGACGCUGCCGUCCGACACGGACGAAGAAAAGCGGCCUCGGAGCCACCAGCGCCGACGCCGAGGAAGCGGGCGGCGGUCCUUCUCCGGAAGGACUACGCCGGGCGCGAGGCUGGCAGCGGUGCGCGUCCGUUCGCCGCGGUGCACCGUGGUGGCCGUGUCGGGGCUUGAGAGGUUCGCGGUGGUGCGGCGGACGAGCGACCCGCAGCGGGAGUUCCGCAACUCGAUGGUGGAGAUGAUAACGAGCAAGCGCAUCGGGCGGCCGGAGGAGCUGGAGACGCUCCUGGCGUGCUACCUGGCGCUAAACGCCGAGGAGCACCACGACUGCAUCGUCAAGGUGUUCCGCCAGGUCUGGUUUGAGCUCAACCCCGCCCGCAUUGCUACCGUCACCAGCCGGCCACGCAGCUGA